AUUGAACGCUGGCGGUAGGCCUAACACAUGCAAGUCGAACGGCAGCACAGUAAGCGCUUGCUCUUACGGGUGGCGAGUGGCGAACGGGUGAGGCAUACAUCGGCAGCUACUUUUUCGUGGGGGAUGACGUAGGGAAACAUACCGCAUAACCGCAUACGGCCUACGGGUGAGAUCUUGGGAUCUCCGGACCUUGCGCGAUUCGAUGAGCCGAUGGCGGAUUAGCUAGUUGGCGGGGUAAAGGCCCACCAAGGCGACGAUCUGUAGCUGGUCUGAGAGGACGACCAGCCACACUGGGACUGAGACACGGCCCAGACUCCUACGGGAGGCAGCAGUGGGGAAUUUUGGACAAUGGGCGAAAGCCUGAUCCAGCAAUGCCGCGUGUGUGAUGAAGGCCUUCGGGUUGUAAAGCACUUUUGGCGGGAACGAAAAGGACUGUGCCAAUACCACGGUGCGAUGACGGUACCCGAAGAAUAAGCACCGGCUAACUACGUG
rnacentral:rRNA from 1 species